rnacentral:snRNA from 1 species
UUGCUUUGGCAGCAUAUAUACUAACAUUGGAAUGAUUAACAUGGCCCCUGCGCAAGGAUGACAUGCAAAUUUGUGAUGUGUUCCAUAUAUAU